GUAUAAGGGACAGGUGAGUCAUCGAAUCUUUGAACGCACAUUGCGCCCCUUGGUAUUCCAUGGGGCAUGCCUGUUCGAGCGUCAUUUGUACUCUCAAGCUCUGCUUGGUGUUGGGUGUUUGUCUUUGCUUUAUGCUCAGACUCGCCUUAAAUGUAUUGGCAGCCGAUAUAUUGGUUUGAAGCGCAGCACAAUUUGCGAUUUAGGCUUUUAAUAUUAGCAUCCAUCAAGUAUAAUUAACACUUUUGACCUCGGAUCAGGUAGGGAUACCCGCUGAACUUAAGCAUAUCAAUAAGCGGAGGA
rnacentral:misc_RNA from 1 species